AGAACAACAUGAUGAUUCUGCUCUGAGGGAUUCUAGAACAACAUGAUGAUUCUGCUCUGAGGGAUUCUAGAACAACAUGAUGAUUCUGCUCUGAGGGAUUCUAGAACAACAUGAUGAUUCUGCUCUGAGGGAUUCUAGAACAUGAUGAUUCUGCUCUGAGGGAUUCUAGAACAACAUGAUGAUUCUGCUCUGAGGGAUUCUAGAACAACAUGAUGAUUCUGCUCUGAGGGAUUCUAGAACAUGAUGAUUCUGCUCUGAGGGAUUCUAGAACAACAUGAUGAUUCUGCUCUGAGGGAUUCUAGAACAACAUGAUGAUUCUGCUCUGAGGGAUUCUAGAACAACAUGAUGAUUCUGCUCUGAGGGAUUCUAGAACAACAUGCUGAUUCUGCUCUGAGGGAUUCUAGAACAUGAUGAUUCUGCUCUGAGGGAUUCUAGAACAUGAUGCUGAUUCUGCUCUGAGGGAUUCUAGAACAACAGGGAAUUCUGUUUCCUUCCUGUUGAUGUACUGUCAGAUGGAAACACUCUAACCCAACAUGUAGAUUCUACUCUGUGAAUGACGAGGUUUGUGGCACAGAUCAUUAUCAUGAAAUAACAGACAACAGUUCACAGUAAACACAGACUAUCAUUGUGCACAACCCUAUACAACCCUAUUACAUAGCAUCAGCAAGGUACAUAAAACACUGACACCAUCCCUUUAAGGCCGAUAGAUAGGUCAUCCCUUUAAGACCUACACACAGUUCACCCCGUAAAAGACAGACAAUAAAGGUCAACCCUGUAAGACCGACAGACAGGUCAUCCCUUUAAGACUGACGGGCAGGUCAUCCCUUUAUGACCGACAGACAGGUCAUCCCUUUAAGACCGACGGGCAGGUCAUCCCUUUAAGACCGACAGACAGGUCAUCCCUUUAAGACCGACAGACAGGUCAUCCCUUUAAGACCGACAGGCAGGUCAUCCCUUUAAGACCGACAGACAGGUCAUCCCUUUAAGACCGACAGACAGGUCAUCCCUUUAAGACAGACGGGCAGGUCAUCCCUUUAAGACCGACAGACAGGUCAUCCCUUUAAGACCGACAGACAGGUCAUCCCUUUAAGACCGACGGGCAGGUCAUCCCUUUAUGACCGACGGGCAGGUCAUCCCUUUAAGACCGACGGGCAGGUCAUCCCUUUAAGACCGACAGACAGGUCAUCCCUUUUAAGACCUCAAAUAUACAGAUGUACUGUAUAUUUGAAAAACGAGUUAAAAAAUGAUUAUUUACAAAAAUACUUUGCUGUGUAAACUUUUCAUUUUCAUUCCAACCAAAGGUUAGAGUUAGGUACUCUCUACCCCUACCCCUCUAUCCCCCUGUCUACCCCUACCCCUCUAUCCCCCUGUCUACCCCUACCCCUCUAUCCCCCUG
rnacentral:lncRNA from 1 species